rnacentral:lncRNA from 1 species
CAGUGUGACUGAUCUAGGUGCCAGUUCAACCAGCAUGACCCUAAUUCAAUUCAAUGACUUAGUGAAGUUAGUAGAAGGAUUAUGAUUUACUGAUUGAUCUCCUCUCUUCUCAAUUCAUAAAUUAAAUCUUUUAAAUUAUUAAGUCCCUAAAAUGAGUUAGUUAUGAUGAUAACUAAAUCAUAGCCUUCCAUUAAGUUAGGUGAUAAUGGGUCCAUUAGUAUAAUGAUCAUUGGAGGUCCAAAGGUCUGGUGCUCAUCUGCUAUUGAAAUUAUCAUUCACAAUAUGAUGACUCAGUCAAGUCUCUCUGGUGAGUGGUCAGGUUAGCCGACCAAAGUCGGGCCUGAUCAUUUGGUAGUUAGAUUCUUGAGUAUGAUCAUGUUAAUAGUUGGACCUAACCGAAACUUUUAGUGGAGGCCCAUCACCUACUAAAAUGAAACCUAGGGUGAAACUUAUUGCUAAAAAUUAUUUACUGAAAUAAUUGGUUAAGAACCUAUCUAUAGAUGUACAUGGAUGAGCCGGCCAAAGUCGAGCUCAUGUGCAACUGUGUAGAUUCUAGUACCCGCUAAAGAAUUAAGGUAAUUCCUCAGAUUGGAGAUAGAGGUUACCAAUUCGACUAAAAUAGUGGGAGAACCUUUAGACUAAAGUCCA